UACGGGGGGGGCAAGCGUUGUUCGGAAUUACUGGGCGUAAAGGGCUCGUAGGUGGCCAACUAAGUCAGACGUGAAAUCCCUCGGCUUAACCGGGGAACUGCGUCUGAUACUGGAUGGCUGGAGUAUGGGAGAGGGAUGCGGAAUUCCAGGUGUAGCGGUGAAAUGCGUAGAUAUCUGGAGGAACACCGGUGGCGAAGGCGGCAUCCUGGACCGGCAUUGACGCUGAGGCGCGAAAGCCAGGGGAGCAAACGGG
rnacentral:rRNA from 1 species